rnacentral:snoRNA from 13 species
UUCUUACAAAUCUAAAUGUGCUUUGAUGCAAGUAUAUUUGAACCCCUUUCCAUCUGAUAACUGAGCAAAAUAAUA